rnacentral:rRNA from 1 species
CCUACGGGAGGCAGCAGUGGGGAAUAUUGCACAAUGGGCGCAAGCCUGAUGCAGCCAUGCCGCGCGUGUGAAGAAGGCCUUCGGGUUGUAAAGCACUUUCAGCGGGGAGGAAGGCGGUGAGGUUAAUAACCUCAUCGAUUGACGUUACCCGCAGAAGAAGCACCGGCUAACUCCGUGCCAGCAGCCGCGGUAAUACGGAGGGUGCAAGCGUUAAUCGGAAUUACUGGGCGUAAAGCGCACGCAGGCGGUCUGUCAAGUCGGAUGUGAAAUCCCCGGGCUCAACCUGGGAACUGCAUUCGAAACUGGCAGGCUAGAGUCUUGUAGAGGGGGGUAGAAUUCCAGGUGUAGCGGUGAAAUGCGUAGAGAUCUGGAGGAAUACCGGUGGCGAAGGCGGCCCCCUGGACAAAGACUGACGCUCAGGUGCGAAAGCGUGGGGAGCAAACAGGAUUAGAUACCCUAGUAGUC